AACGAACGCUGGCGGCAGGCUUAACACAUGCAAGUCGAGCGCCCGUAGCAAUACGGGAGUGGCGGACGGGUGAGUAACGCGUGGGAACGUGCCCUGAAGUACGGAAUAACUGCGGGAAACUGCAGCUAAUACCGUAUGAGCCCCGCAAGGGGGAAAGAUUUAUCGCCUUAGGAGCGGCCCGCGUCGGAUUAGCUAGUUGGUGGGGUAACGGCUUACCAAGGCUUCGAUCCGUAGCUGGUCUGAGAGGACGAUCAGCCACACUGGGACUGAGACACGGCCCAGACUCCUACGGGAGGCAGCAGUGGGGAAUAUUGGACAAUGGGGGAAACCCUGAUCCAGCAAUGCCGCGUGAGUGAAGAAGGCCUUCGGGUUGUAAAGCUCUUUUAUUGGGGAAGAUUAUGACGGUACCCAAGGAAUAAGCUCCGGCUAACUUCGUGCCAGCAGCCGCCGUAAAAC
rnacentral:rRNA from 1 species